UUCCAGUGUGUGCUGUGUCAGUGUUCAGGGCUUGUCUCUAUUCCAGUGUGUGCUGUGUCAGUGUUCAGUGCUUGUUUCUGUAUUCCAGUGUGUGCUUUGUCAGUGUUGAGUGCUUGUUUCUGUAUUCCAGUGUCUGCUGUGUGGUUGCUGUGCUGCCUUCAGGAGGAGAUGGCACAGAAGAAGAUCAUACCACGUGCAAUAUGCAACUAGAAAUGGCCUUUUCUGAGAAGAUCUGCAGUUUUCCCACCAUGCACCUGGCACCUCUACAGCCACUUCCCCUUCACCUUGAAGAAAACACCCCCACUGUCUCAACGUCUUCACUUCUACUAGAGACGCCCCUCGAUGCAUCACCACAACUGCACGCCUCCCUGAAACCCGAGCAAGAGCCGAUCUGUCAAAGAAAACCAACCCCAGCAGCCUCAUCAGCUCCUCAUAUAAUCCUCAGCGUCGCCAUGUCCACCUCCAGCCCAUCAGGCCCAGGACUGGACCCUCAAACUCAUGGCCUCUGCCCUGCUGGGGUGGAUAAAACUAAGAGGUGUUAGUGGAUCCGAUGGGCAAUAAGACAAUGCCUGAGGCCUUCCCUUCAAAUGUGUCACGCACAUAUGGACACUGGCUCACAGACGCUCGGAUCUUUGUGCCCACUACGUCAUAUGUUGCAAUAUUUUUGCUGACCUUUUUCCCAUCCUGCUGUAAAACUCACACAAUUUACCGAUCAUAACACCCGAUCUGGAGAUCUGCUGAUCCGGGCAGAUCGAAGGUUUCCAGUCACUUGGAUAGAAACUCCAAAUUCCUUCACAUCCUUUGUAUGUAUAUAGAACCAGCUUCUUAACUCUCAUGCCUAGCCUGAGCACCUUCCGCCCAGCGCGUCUGAACAGAAAUUGGAAAUUACUGCAUUUGCAUUGCCGGGAUCACUUACAUCCUUUUAUCAUACACAGAAACUGCAAUCCCAUGUACAAUGCAGCACACUUUAUGGCCUCCCGUUCUGGGUUUCGAGUAGUAUAGUCAAAAUCACUGUGCAAACGACCAGGACAGUUUUUUAAAGAAAGAGCAGAGCAGGGAAAUUUAGGAUGAAGUGCAAUUCUUAAUUCACUGUUUAAUUCACUCAUUUCUGCACAGCUGGACAGUGCAGGCUAGUUCUUCUUAUUCUAUUACUUUAACUCUUAUUAUUGAUCACGAUGCGGGUUGAAUUAUUUCUAGCAGUAUUAUGCUUUUUAUAAAGCUUCUUCCGCUCACGAAUAUGCUUCUCUGUUUGACACAGAGCACAUAGUGUGGAAGAGCGAUAUUAUUUGGUGGGAAGGGGUAUUAUGGAAUCUUAAAUCAGAUUUAUUUUUAUACUAUUUAUUCAGCUGUCUUAAUUUAACCAGCCUAUCAAUGAUCCAUUUACGUAUUUAUCAAUUAUUUAUUUGCUUCCAUUUAAAAUUGCCACUGCUGUGAUUUUUUCAUUUCCUAUGCAGGACUGAAACAGACUAAUUAACGUGAGCUGUAAGACAGAGAUGAGUUCGCUGCAAAGGCCAGCUCCUCUUUCCUGUACUGCCUGAUAUUUAAUAGGGACUGGGGGACCUAGAACUGCUUUUACAAUACCAUUUGGAGAAAAAAACAACACAUUGGUACAAUUGAACAUGCGAUUAGAUCAGGAAUUGAGUAAACGCAGUGAAGAAAACGUCCUACAGCACCUGCCCGGAGUCUCUCAGUCCCACAUUGUGAUCUGUAUUGCGAAGGAGUUAUUGUGAUGCCAAGGGUGGAGCACACGAGAUACUGCUGUAGGAAAGAGAUAAUCACCCUGUGCAUCUCAGAGAGAGAGAGAGAGAGAGCCUGUGCCUAAGUCUGUUUCUGUUCAUAUUUCUAUCAGAACAUAUAAACAUAUUUCAUUAUAUAGCAUUCUAGUUUCAAUAAACACAUAUCUUAUGCAAUAC
rnacentral:lncRNA from 1 species